UACGGGGGGGCAAGCGUUGUUCGGAAUUACUGGGCGUAAAGGGCUCGUAGGCGGCCAACUAAGUCAGACGUGAAAUCCCCAGGCUUAACCUGGGAACUGCAUCCGAUACUGGAUGGCUUGAAUCCGGGAGAGGGAUGCAGAAUUCCAGGUGUAGCGGUGAAAUGCGUAGAUAUCUGGAGGAAUACCGGUGGCGAAGGCGGCAUCCUGGACCGGCAUUGACGCUGAUGAGCGAAAGCGUGGGUAGCAAACGGG
rnacentral:rRNA from 1 species